GACGAACGCUGGCGGCGUGCCUAAUACAUGCCAGUUGAGCGCUGAAGGUUGGUACUUGUACCGACUGGAUGAGCAGCGAACGGGUGAGUAACGCGUGGGGAAUCUGCCUUUGAGCGGGGGACAACAUUUGGAAACGAAUGCUAAUACCCCAUAAAAACUUUAAACACAAGUUUUAAGUUUGAAAGAUGCAAUUGCAUCACUCAAAGAUGAUCCCGCGUUGUAUUAGCUAGUUGGUGAGGUAAAGGCUCACCAAGGCGAUGAUACAUAGCCGACCUGAGAGGGUGAUCGGCCACAUUGGGACUGAGACACGGCCCAAACUCCUACGGGAGGCAGCAGUAGGGAAUCUUCGGCAAUGGACGAAAGUCUGACCGAGCAACGCCGCGUGAGUGAAGAAGGUUUUCGGAUCGUAAAACUCUGUUGGUAGAGAAGAACGUUGGUGAGAGUGGAAAGCUCAUCAAGUGACGGUAACUACCCAGAAAGGGACGGCUAACUACGUG
rnacentral:rRNA from 1 species